rnacentral:ncRNA from 1 species
AUAUCAGCAAUUGGAUAUAGUAGCAGCAGUUUUACGUUUCACAGAGAGCCGGAUUUGGUGGAAACCGGCAGCGUGUUCUGCAGUGAAUUGGGUUCCGGUUUUAAUUAUUGCUCGGGUAAUGCCGUUAUGCAUUAGAGCGAAGCGAAUGCUUCAACAGAGGUGGUACCGCGGUUAACAUCGUCCUCCAU